AAGUCGUAACAAGGUUUCCGUAGGUGAACCUGCGGAAGGAUCAUUAACACAAUCCGAAAGGCGUUGCGCGUGCUUCCCAGCACAAGCAACCCUUUUAUCUACCCAACUGUGCACUUGUUCUCCAGCGAGUGGUGGGCGCAUCCGGUUUGUCCAGUCGUGUUUCACGCUGAACAGGUCGGGUCAACCUCCACUUGCGUUUUUUGUUGUUUUCAACUUUAUUUACCCUUUUGAAAAAACUCGGUUGUAGUUUUUUUCUUUCAAAGCAACGAACGACGCUGGCCACGUGCCUGUCUUGUCGGUCGAUUGUUCGAAAAACUGAAAAUACAACUCUUAGCAACGGAUAUCUUGGUUCCCGU
rnacentral:misc_RNA from 1 species